rnacentral:lncRNA from 1 species
GGGGACAUGAGACCCCAUUUUCGAUCAUAAUCUGUAGUGCGUGAGGUAAUCCUUGUGCGUUCAAGAACACUGCAGAAUUCUGGUUCA